rnacentral:lncRNA from 1 species
CCAAAUGGAUACUUCUAUUGGAUGUUUGAUAGCUAAAUCGUAAUGAUAUCAGAAAUUAUUAAAAAUGGGAACUUAUAAACUCGAAGAAAUGAGAAAAAUGACAGAAAGGCAUUGAAAAUACCAUCGCUUGGAUGUGAAAAAUAUGGGACGAAAGAAAAGAAGAUUUAAGCAAAGACCAUUGAAAAAUAAUCCAGUAAGACAAAGCUCUAGAAAGUACUAUAUACAAAAUUUCGUCAACCAUGUAGGUAACCACUGCCUUUGGGAAAAUUUUGCAGUGACAUCCCGCAAGGCACAACCCAAAAAAACCCACCAACUCCACCAAUCACAACUGCGAAAUCUAUGCCAUUUCCUCAAAAGAAUUCCUAUCAGCAUCUUGCCAUCUUCAAAUUUAUCCACAAAUCGUAUAUUGGUCGAUCAAAAGAAUGCUUUUCAAAUCAAAAGAAGGCAUUCAUCGUCCUUCAUGAAGAUCUUCCGAGAAAACUGCCGUUCGAGAGAUGUUGUCAUUAUCAAAGGCACUUAGACCUGAGUAAGGACCCGAGGAAAAUAUUGAGGAUGUUCCAUCGGACUCGAAGGUAGUAGACGACUGUCUCAUGUUCGGCCGGGUGUUAGAAGCUGACAUAGAAUCCUGAUAUUCUGUGACACGCUGUACCAUUUUAAGUGACUGAACCACUUCACCCAUUGUCGGUCGUUGGUUUGCCUCCGGAGCAACACAAGCUGCUGCAAUGGUGCAAACGCGUACAAAAUCUUCUUUUGGAUAUUUUCCCCCAAGCCUUGUAUCAGCAAGCUCUUCUAGCCUAUCUUUGUCUCUAAGGAUCGGCCUGGCCUGGAAAUGCAACCAAUUGUCUCAACUAGCCCAAUUUUAUAUUUAUAUAUAUGAUAAAGAAAUAUUUUUCAAUCAUUACAAAGGAACAAUAUGUAACCAGAUUAGGCUUACUAACCCAAGUGACCAGAUUUUCCUGCCCAGAUGGUUGUGACAUAUCUACAGGUUUCCUUCCUGUCAGCAACUCAAGGAGGACAACUCCAUAGCUGUAAACGUCACUUUUUACUAGUAGAUUAUACUUUUCCAAUGUCAAGAAGGUACUUAAAUGCUAAACUCUCAAAUAAUAUUUUGAUAAUCAUUUUGACGAGCCAAAUGGAUACUUCUAUUGGAUGUUUGAUAGCUAAAUCGUAAUGAUAUCAGAAAUUAUUAAAAAUGGGAACUUAUAAACUCGAAGAAAUGAGAAAAAUGACAGAAAGGCAUUGAAAAUACCAUCGCUUGGAUGUGAAAAAUAUGGGACGAAAGAAAAGAAGAUUUAAGCAAAGACCAUUGAAAAAUAAUCCAGUAAGACAAAGCUCUAGAAAGUACUAUAUACAAAAUUUCGUCAACCAUGUAGGUAACCACUGCCUUUGGGAAAAUUUUGCAGUGACAUCCCGCAAGGCACAACCCAAAAAAACCCACCAACUCCACCAAUCACAACUGCGAAAUCUAUGCCAUUUCCUCAAAAGAAUUCCUAUCAGCAUCUUGCCAUCUUCAAAUUUAUCCACAAAUCGUAUAUUGGUCGAUCAAAAGAAUGCUUUUCAAAUCAAAAGAAGGCAUUCAUCGUCCUUCAUG